rnacentral:rRNA from 1 species
AGAGUUUGAUCAUGGCUCAGAAUCAACGCUGGCGGCGCGCCUAACACAUGCAAGUCGAACGAGAAAGCGGGGGCAACCUCGUGAGUAAAGUGGCGUACGGGUGAGUAACACGUGGAUCAUCUACCCUGGAGUGGGGAAUAACGCUGGGAAACCGGCGCUAAUACCGCAUAUUCCCGAGAGGGGAAAGCAGCAAUGCGCUCGAGGAGGAGUCCGCGGCCGAUUAGCUUGUUGGCAGGGUAAAAGCCUACCAAGGCUGUGAUCGGUAGCCGGCCUGAGAGGGCACACGGCCACACUGGCACUGAAACACGGGCCAGACUCCUACGGGAGGCAGCAGUGGGGAAUCUUGCACAAUGGGGGAAACCCUGAUGCAGCGACGCCGCGUGAGCGAUGAAGCCCUUCGGGGUGUAAAGCUCUUUCGGCAGGGAAGAUCAUGACGGUACCUGCAGAAGCAGCUGCGGCUAACUACGUGCCAGCAGCCGCGGUAAUACGUAGGCAGCAAGCGUUGUUCGGAGUUACUGGGCGUAAAGGGUGUGUAGGCGGCUCUCUAAGUUUGGUGUGAAAUCUCCCGGCUCAACCGGGAGGGUGCGCCGAAAACUGGAGGGCUAGAGUGCGGGAUGGGAGAGUAGAAUUCCUGGUGUAGCGGUGAAAUGCGUAGAUAUCAGGAGGGAUACCGGUGGUGUAGACGGCUCUCUGGACCGUAACUGACGCUGAAACACGAAAGCGUGGGUAGCAAACAGGAUUAGAUACCCUGGUAGUCCACGCCCUAAACGAUGCACAUUUGGUGUAGGUCAUUCAGUUGAUCUGUGCCGGAGCUAACGCGUUAAAUGUGCCGCCUGGGGAGUACAGUCGCAAGGCUGAACUCAAAGGAAUUGACGGGGGCCCGCACAAGCGGUGGAGCAUGUGGUUCAAUUCGACGCAACGCGAAGAACCUUACCUGGGCUCGAACGGCUGGUCAACGACUGGUGG